rnacentral:rRNA from 1 species
GUACUCCGGGGAUAACAGGCUGAUACCGCCCAAGAGUUCAUAUCGACGGCGGUGUUUGGCACCUCGAUGUCGGCUCAUCACAUCCUGGGGCUGAAGUAGGUCCCAAGGGUAUGGCUGUUCGCCAUUUAAAGUGGUACGCGAGCUGGGUUUAGAACGUCGUGAGACAGUUCGGUCCCUAUCUGCCGUGGGCGCUGGAGAAUUGAGGGGGGCUGCUCCUAGUACGAGAGGACCGGAGUGGACGCAUCACUGGUGUUCGGGUUGUCAUGCCAAUGGCACUGCCCGGUAGCUAAAUGCGGAAGAGAUAAGUGCUGAAAGCAUCUAAGCACGAAACUUGCCCCGAGAUGAGUUCUCCCUGAGACUUUAAGUCUCCUGAAGGAACGUUGAAGACGACGACGUUGAUAGGCCGGGUGUGUAAGCGCAGCGAUGCGUUGAGCUAACCGGUACUAAUGAACCGUGAGGCUUAACCUUACAACGCCGAAG